GGCGCAGGCGGACAGGUCAGUGGAAAGUGGAAUCCCGGGGCUCAACCCCGGAAAGCCUUUCCAUACUGCCUGUCUUGAGUACGUGAGAGGAGAGCGGAAUUCAGGGUGUAGCGGUGAAAUGCUUAGAUAUCCUGAGGAACACCAGUGGCGAAAGCGACUUUCUGGCACGAAACUGACGCUGAGGCUCGAAAGCAUGGGUAGCGAACG
rnacentral:rRNA from 1 species